UACUAAUCUGCGAUAAGCGCCGGUAAGGUGAUAUGAACCGUUAUAACCGGCGAUACCCGAAUGGGGAAACCCAGUGUGAUUCGUCACACUAUCAUUAACUGAAUCCAUAGGUUAAUGAGGCGAACCGGGGGAACUGAAACAUCUAAGUACCCCGAGGAAAAGAAAUCAACCGAGAUUCCCCCAGUAGCGGCGAGCGAACGGGGAGGAGCCCAGAGCCUGAAUCAGCAUGUGUGUUAGUGGAAGCGUCUGGAAAGGCGCGCGAUACAGGGUGACAGCCCCGUACACAAAAGCGCAUGUGCUGUGAGCUCGAUGAGUAGGGCGGGACACGUGGUAUCCUGUCUGAAUAUGGGGGGACCAUCCUCCAAGGCUAAAUACUCCUGACUGACCGAUAGUGAACCAGUACCGUGAGGGAAAGGCGAAAAGAACCCCGGCGAGGGGAGUGAAAAAGAACCUGAAACCGUGUACGUACAAGCAGUGGGAGCACCCUUUGGGUGUGACUGCGUACCUUUUGUAUAAUGGGUCAGCGACUUAUAUUCUGUAGCAAGGUUAACCGAAUAGGGGAGCCGGAGGGAAACCGAGUCUUAAUUGGGCGUUAAGUUGCAGGGUAUAGACCCGAAACCCGGUGAUCUAGCCAUGGGCAGGUUGAAGGUUGGGUAACACUAACUGGAGGACCGAACCGACUAAUGUUGAAAAAUUAGCGGAUGACCUGUGGCUGGGGGUGAAAGGCCAAUCAAACCGGGAGAUAGCUGGUUCUCCCCGAAAGCUAUUUAGGUAGCGCCUCGUGAAUUCAUCUCCGGGGGUAGAGCACUGUUUCGGCUAGGGGGCCAUCCCGGCUUACCAACCCGAUGCAAACUGCGAAUACCGGAGAAUGUUAUCACGGGAGACACACGGCGGGUGCUAACGUCCGUCGUGAAGAGGGAAACAACCCAGACCGCCAGCUAAGGUCCCAAAGUCAUGGUUAAGUGGGAAACGAUGUGGGAAGGCCCAGACAGCCAGGAUGUUGGCUUAGAAGCAGCCAUCAUUUAAAGAAAGCGUAAUAGCUCACUGGUCGAGUCGGCCUGCGCGGAAGAUGUAACGGGGCUAAACCAUGCACCGAAGCUGCGGCAGCGACACUGUGUGUUGUUGGGUA
rnacentral:rRNA from 1 species